rnacentral:rRNA from 1 species
UUGACCUCGGAUCAGGUAGGGAUACCCGCUGAACUUAAGCAUAUCAAUAAGCGGAGGAAAAGAAACCAACAGGGAUUGCCUCAGUAACGGCGAGUGAAGCGGCAACAGCUCAAAUUUGAAAGCUGCCAACAGGCCGCGUUGUAAUUUGUAGAAGCUGCUUUGGGUGUCGGCCCGGUCUAAGUUCCUUGGAACAGGACGUCAUAGAGGGUGAGAAUCCCGUAUGUGAUCGGUGCCGGUGCCCGUGUAAAGCGCUUUCGACGAGUCGAGUUGUUUGGGAAUGCAGCUCAAAAUGGGUGGUAAAUUUCAUCUAAAGCUAAAUAUUGGCCAGAGACCGAUAGCGCACAAGUAGAGUGAUCGAAAGAUGAAAAGCACUUUGGAAAGAGAGUUAAACAGUACGUGAAAUUGUUGAAAGGGAAGCGCUUGCAACCAGACUUGCGGGCGGUCGAUCAUCCGAGGUUCUCCCCGGUGCACUCGAUCGUUCUCAGGCCAGCAUCGGUUUCCGGGGUGGGAUAAAGGCGGUGGGAAUGUGGCUCUUCGGAGUGUUAUAGCCCACCGUGCAAUGCCGCCACUGGGGACCGAGGACCGCGCUUCGGCUAGGAUGCUGGCGUAAUGGUUGUAAGCGACCCGUCUUGAAACACGGACC